UACGAAGGGAGCUAGCGUUGUUCGGAAUUACUGGGCGUAAAGAGCGCGUAGGCGGUUUGACAAGUUGGGAGUGAAAGCCCAGGGCUUAACCCUGGAAAUGCUCUCAAAACUGUCUGACUAGAGAUUGGUAGAGGAUGGUGGAAUUCCUAGUGUAGAGGUGAAAUUCGUAGAUAUUAGGAGGAACACCGGUGGCGAAGGCGGCCAUCUGGGCCAAUACUGACGCUGAGGCGCGAAAGCGUGGGGAGCAAACAGG
rnacentral:rRNA from 1 species